UACGUAGGGAGCAAGCGUUGUUCGGAGUUACUGGGCGUAAAGGGUGCGUAGGCGGCUUGGUAAGUGUGGUGUGAAAUCUCCCGGCUCAACUGGGAGGGUGCGCUACAAACUGCCCGGGCUAGAGUGCGGGAGAGGAGAGUGGAAUUCCUGGUGUAGCGGUGAAAUGCGUAGAUAUCAGGAGGAACACCGGUGGUGUAAACGGCUCUCUGGACCGUAACUGACGCUGAGGCACGAAAGCGUGGGUAGCAAACAGG
rnacentral:rRNA from 1 species